GGAGGGUGCAAGCGUUAAUCGGGAAUUACUGGGGCGUAAAGCGCGCGUAGGCGGCUUGCCAAGUUGGAUGUGAAAGCCCUGGGGCUUAACCUGGGGAACUGCAUCCAAAACUGGUAGGCUAGAGUACAGUAGAGGUGAGUGGAAUUUCCGGUGUAGCGGUGAAAUGCGUAGAUAUCGGAAGGAACAUCAGUGGCGAAGGCGACUCACUGGACUGAUACUGACGCUGAGGUGCGAAAGCGUGGGUAGCAAACAGGAUUAGAGACCCUGGUAGUCCACGCCGUAAACGAUGAGAACUAGCUGUUGGGAUGGGAAGACAUCUAAGUAGCGAAGCUAACGCAUUAAGUUCUCCGCCUGGGGAGUACGGUCGCAAGAUUA
rnacentral:rRNA from 1 species